GAUGAACGCUGGCGGCGUGCCUAAUACAUGCAAGUCGAGCGAACGGACGAGAAGCUUGCUUUUCUGAUGUUAGCGGCGGACGGGUGAGUAACACGUGGAUAACCUACCUAUAAGACUGGGAUAACUUCGGGAAACCGGAGCUAAUACCGGAUAAUAUUUUGAACCGCAUGGUUCAAAAGUGAAAGACGGUCUUGCUGUCACUUAUAGAUGGAUCCGCGCUGCAUUAGCUAGUUGGUAAGGUAACGGCUUACCAAGGUAACGAUGCAUAGCCGACCUGAGAGGGUGAUCGGCCACACUGGAACUGAGACACGGUCCAGACUCCUACGGGAGGCAGCAGUAGGGAAUCUUCCGCAAUGGGCGAAAGCCUGACGGAGCAACGCCGCAUGAGUGAUGAAGGUCUUCGGAUCGUAAAACUCUGUUAUUAGGGAAGAACAUAUGUGUAAGUAACUGUGCACAUCUUGACGGUACCUAAUCAGAAAGCCACGGCUAACUACGUG
rnacentral:rRNA from 1 species